CGAACAGUUGGAACGACUGCUAAUACCGCAUACGAUCCAACCUCGGCAUCGAGGAUGGAUGAAAGGUGGCCUCUAUUUAUAAGCUAUCACUGAAGGAGGGGAUUGCGUCUGAUUAGCUAGUUGGAGGGGUAACGGCCACCAAGGCAAUGAUCAGUAGCCGGUCUGAGAGGAUGAACGGCCACAUUGGGACUGAGACACGGCCCAGACUCCUACGGGAGGCAGCAUG
rnacentral:rRNA from 1 species